UACGUAGGGUGCGAGCGUUGCCCGGAUUUAUUGGGCGUAAAGGGCGCGUAGGCGGCUCGGCACGUCCGUUGUGAAAUCGCCCGGCUCAACUGGGCGGGGUCAGCGGAUACGGUCGAGCUUGAGCAAGCUAGGGGGUAAUGGAAUUCCCGGUGUAGUGGUGGAAUGCGUAGAUAUUGGGAGGAACACCGGUGGCGAAGGCGGCCCCCUGGACCGGUACUGACGCUGAGGCGCGAAAGCGUGGGUAGCAAACGGG
rnacentral:rRNA from 1 species